UAGGGAAUCUUCCACAAUGGACGCAAGUCUGAUGGAGCAACGCCGCGUGAGUGAAGAAGGUUUUCGGAUCGUAAAGCUCUGUUGUUGGUGAAGAAGGAUAGAGGUAGUAACUGGCCUUUAUUUGACGGUAAUCAACCAGAAAGUCACGGCUAACUACGUGCCAGCAGCCGCGGUAAUACGUAGGUGGCAAGCGUUGUCCGGAUUUAUUGGGCGUAAAGCGAGCGCAGGCGGAAGAAUAAGUCUGAUGUGAAAGCCCUCGGCUUAACCGAGGAACUGCAUCGGAAAAUGUUUUUAUUGAGUGCAGAAGAGGAGAGUGGAAUUCCAUGUGUAGCGGUGGAAUGCGUAGAAAGAUGGAAGAACACAAGUGGCGAAGGCGACUCUCUGGUCUGAAACUGACGCUGAGGCUCGAAAGCAUGGGUAGCGAACAGG
rnacentral:rRNA from 1 species